GGUAACAGAGAAGGCUGCUGUUUAUUCUGCUGCUGAUCAACUGAUCUGAACAGAUCAACUUGUUUGAAAGCUAAACAGUUUUUUGCUUACUGAAGAAAUUCUGGGUCUGAAUCUGAUGGCAGCUCUGUCUGAGAACCUGCUGACAGUCAACAUGUUACUGAGUGUCUUCUUUCUUCCAGCUACUUUGGCUGAUUGUGGUGGUAGAAAACCAGCCCUCAAUAUCACUACACCAAAGAAGAUUGAAGCUCU